UUUUCGAUGGCGGUUGGCUGCUGGUACAGUAGGCCCGCCUGGUACAUGCCGACAGGGCAGGAAACGCUGCUCCGGCUUUAUUCUGCACUCGUGUGAGGGUGGGCAACCCUCCAAGUUGUGAGUGUAAUGACUGGAGAACAAGGCGACAUCGGAUUUUGAAAUCGACACCAGAGGUGGAUCUACUAAAGCCUUGGAUGAGUUUGAAUCUCAGUUAGCGCAGCCUCAAGAUCACUUCAAGCAUAUAGUCAGAUGGCCUUACAGCACAGCGAGAAGAGUCAGCGUCACUCCAGAGCUCCAGUUUGUAAUUCUUGUAAUUAUAUUAAACCAGCUUUUUUUCCACUUUUACUUUCACACUCUCUUCAGACUCUUAACCUCAAUUAGUUGACUUGACUUAAACCAUUUAAGGCUUCAGCCUGCUGCCUUCUGGCAAGAGGUACCAGAGCAUUCGGGCCAGACUACAAAACAGGUGUCAGUCUCCUGAACACUCAGACACUGGUCUGACACACACACACACGCAACCCCGUUCACCUAUCUUAGU